UGGUUUGCCAUACGCCUGCGUGUAUACAGUGACCGGUUAAUCGACUACGAAUAAUCAUCGAAUACUGACAGGUUGCAAAAAAUUCUAAAUUACCGAUUAAGACCCAAAUUGCAGACUGGAGUGGCGAGAACAAGCGAUUUCUCCUGUUCAGUUUGUAGUACUGUGGAAAUCGUAGCAAUUUAUUGGCCGAGUAAUCCUGUUCGAGGAGACCAAAACAUAAAAUUGGCACCGACGUGAAGAACAGAUUGAAGCACAUUAAAAAAAUGCUGUCGUACACUGCCUGAAAGCAAAAUUCAUUGCUGAUUCGUAGAUAAUACCAGUGGCCAUGAACGAGCAGGGCUUUCCUGAGGUACAUGAAUUUGGAGAAUGCAAAAUCAGCAUUCAUCGUUGCCUGUCGACCUUCCUUGCCGAUUAUUCCGAAACCGACGUGGGCUUCUUGGAUCAUCGAGACGUCGUUGCCACCGUCACCGAUGGCUGCUGUCAAGGGGCGAUUUUUUAAGUUCUUGAUUAAUUGAACGAUCUGUAAAAUUAAAUGAUCGAAAAAAUGAAUCACAAAAUCGUUUUUUUUUUCAAAAUUUCAGGUAUUUAAAAAUUUUCAUUUAUAUUCCCGAUUCGUUUGUGUCUCGUGGGCAAACGGAAUGGAAAUAAAGGGCAACCCAAUGGAUUCACCUCGCACUUUUGCAGCGGUGACAUUCUACAGCAGACGACAGAAUCGCAGUUCGUCGCUACGAUUCGCAGCAAUUCAGGAAAAUUUUUGUGAGCGAUUCCCAUGCUCGGGCCAUCCAUCAUGAGUCCGUACUGCCUCAGAGGUUCCAGCUUCAAGCGGCGUCUGCAAAGAGCCAAACAUUUAUCGCCUCCGGACAAAUUCGUCGAUCGAAAAAUGGCGAUCCGCAACCGCUCGUAGGGCCAAAAAAUGGCCGACUUACUCGAAGCUCGUGAGAGCUACGAAGCACACUUGCACCGUCGUCUGAUCCAUGAGCCUCAGAACUUCCGUGCCUCGUUUGAAGUGGCCACAAGAAAAUGCGAUGUUCUCCGCAGUCUCGGCUUUGUCGCCUGUCAAAACCCACACCUGGCCAACCGAUUAUUAAGGAAUUUUUGAAAGCACAUAGAAGUUUGGAUGCUUCGCUCGACGUGGCGGCGCACCUUGAUGCCGGCGACUCUCAAACUCUCGAGGGUUUCUUGCACGCCUUCCUGGAGACGAUCCUCGACAGCGGUGACCCCGAGCAGGGUGAGGCCUUUCUCCAUCGCGUGGUAGGCUCUCUCGACGCGAGCAGUGCGUUCCGGGCCGAUUGUUUGUCGCGCGUGUUCGAUCGUCCCCGAGAAUCUUCUGAACUCCGGACUUCGUUGAUGCCGGGAGGACUUCCGGGGACUUGGGAAGAAUGGGAAAAACCUUGGAAAAGUCGGACACGCUCCUAAUCGCUUUGUCGACCGCCCCGACGCUCGUCAACGGGAAUAUCACCGAGUCCGCUCCCUUGCAGUAGAGCCAGACGUCGCCCGCCGAGUCCCUCACGACCACCGACAUUCGCUUCCUCUCUGGAACGGAAAUCUCGUUAAAUUUGCACUCCUGAAAAAGUCGAUUUCCCCGAGGCGCGGGGAUGAGACUCACCGGAGCUGAAUUCGAGGGUUUCGAGCCUUUUGAAGUUGAGCGUCCCGUCGGACGAUUUCACUUCGAUCUCGUCGCCGGCACACUUGGUCAGGACAACUCCGCACCUCGCACUCGCUUCGACGAGGGCCUUCUCGUCGGCCGAAGCAGCCUCGAAUAACCGAACAACAAUAAUCCACUUUAAAUAUCGUGAGAACGUAAAAAAAGGCAAAAUUCUCGUCCCCGGGCGCACAAACAACAGCGAAAAUAAUUUCGUUCCCUUGAGUUAGAAAAACAUUGAGAAAAAACUCUGAAAACUUUGGAUCCCUCGAUUGGAUCCGCAAUAAUUUUCGGCCCCUUCGACGAACCUGAUACUCCGGCAGGGCUGGAUCCAUCAUGAGAGAGCUGUUGACCCUCGUUACCCUCUUCUGGCGAAAGCUCUCACGAUACUCGGCUCGUUUGAUGGCGACGCUCGACUGGAGUUGUUCCGGUGCGAUGUGGACCGAGUGGCAGAGCGAGAGGCUCAUCAUCAAGUGCCAGAUUUCUGUCUGAAGAAUGAGAUUUAAAAACGUGAGCGAUUAUCGAUGGGGGAACGAGAUUUUCAUUGGAGAAGAAUUUCAAGUCGUUUCCUCACCGGCCAAGACGUCAAUCGGACCGCAUUCGCCUCGAGCCCGUCCGCUGGCAGGAGUUCCAGUUUUGUCGGUGAAAAGAUACUCGACUUGGCCGAGCUCCUCGUUGAGGUCCGAAGUGUUGGCGAGCGCUGGCUGGUCGUUCUUCGCGUCGUACAUGUCCAAAUCCCAUCGGAAAAAGAGGGAGCC